UACGAAGGGUGCAAGCGUUAAUCGGAAUCACUGGGCGUAAAGGGCGCGUAGGCGGCAGGCCAAGCGUGCGGUGAAAGUCCGGGGCUCAACCCCGGAUCUGCCGUGCGGACUGGUUUGCUAGAGCACUGUAGAGGCGAGUGGAAUUCCGGGUGUAGCGGUGGAAUGCGUAGAGAUCCGGAAGAACACCGGUGGCGAAGGCGGGUCUCUGGGCAAUUCCUGACGCUGAGGCGCGAAAGCGUGGGGAGCAAACGGG
rnacentral:rRNA from 1 species